AACACAAUGNUCNNCNCCNGCGANAAANACAUGAAAGAUCCUUUCUCGUGAUUGAUNGNNUAGAAAGCGGCGGACGGGUGAGUAACGCGUGGGUAACCUACCUUNUACACAGGGAUAGCCAUUGGAAACGAUGAUUAAUACCUGUAAUACCAUAUUAUCACAGUGAUGAAAUGGUCAAAGAUUUAUCGGUAUAAGAUGGACCUGCGUCUGAUUAGUUAGUUGGUGAGGUAACGGCUCACCAAGACUACGAUCAGUAGCCGACCUGAGAGGGUGAUCGGCCACACUGGAACUGAGACACGGUCCAGACUCCUACGGGAGGCAGCAGUGGGGAAUAUUGCACAAUGGGCGCAAGCCUGAUGCAGCAACGCCGCGUGAACGAAGAAGGCCUUCGGGUCGUAAAGUUCUUUUCUUAGGGAAGAAAAAAAUGACGGUACCUAAGGAAUAAGCACCGGCUAACUACGUGCCAGCAGCCGCGGUAAUACGGAGGGUGCAAGCGUUACUCGGAAUCACUGGGCGUAAAGCGCGCGCAGGCGGCUAUUUAAGUUGGAUGUGAAAGCCUACGGCUCAACCGUAGAACUGCAUCCAAAACUAUUUAGCUAGAGUGUGGGAGAGGAAGAUGGGAUUAGUUGUGUAGGGGUAAAAUCCGUAGAGAUAACUAGGAAUACCAAAAGCGAAGGCAAUCUUCUGGAACAUUACUGACGCUGAGGCGCGAAAGCGUGGGGAGCAAACGGGAUUAGAUACCCUGGUAGUCCACGCCCUAAACGAUGAAUGU
rnacentral:rRNA from 1 species